GACGAACGCUGGCGGCGUGCUUAACACAUGCAAGUCGAACGGUGAAGCGCCUUCCUUUUUGGUGGGUGUGGAUGAGUGGCGAACGGGUGAGUAACACGUGAGUAACCUGCCCCCUUCUUCUGGAUAACCGCAUGAAAGUGUGGCUAAUACGGGAUAUUCUGGGUCUGUCGCAUGAUGGGUCUGGGAAAGAUAUUGUUUCGGUGGGGGAUGGGCUCGCGGCCUAUCAGCUUGUUGGUGGGGUGAUGGCCUACCAAGGCGGUGACGGGUAGCCGGCCUGAGAGGGUGGACGGUCACACUGGGACUGAGACACGGCCCAGACUCCUACGGGAGGCAGCAGUGGGGAAUAUUGCACAAUGGGCGCAAGCCUGAUGCAGCGACGCCGCGUGAGGGAUGGAGGCCUUCGGGUUGUGAACCUCUUUCGCCAGUGAAGCAGGCCUGCCUCGUUUGUGGGUGGGUUGACGGUAGCUGGAGAAGAAGCGCUGGCUAACUACGUG
rnacentral:rRNA from 1 species